UAUGUGAUCGUCUCUCGCAUAUCAAUAAGCGGAGGAAAAGAAACUAACAAGGAUUCCCCUAGUAACGGCGAGGUGAAGCGGGAAGAGCUCAAAUUUGAAAUCUUAAAGGGUUUCCCUUUACGAGUUGUAGUUUAAAGAAGUGUUUUCUGUUGAGGUUUUGGUAAAAGUUCUUUGGAAUAGGACAUCAUAGAGGGUGAGAAUCCCGUAUUUGACCUUUACUUUCAACUUUGUGAUACACUUUCAAAGAGUCGGAUUGUUUGGGAAUGCAGUCCAAAAUGGGUGGUAAAUUUCAUCUAAAGCUAAAUAUUGGCGAGAGACCGAUAGCGAACAAGUACCGUGAGGGAAAGAUGAAAAGAACUUUGAAAAGAGAGUUAAACAGUACGUGAAAUUGUCAAAAGGGAAGCGUUUGACACCAGUGUUGUUUUUCUGAAAAUCAAUUAAAGAACUGUUUAUGCUAAGCUGUUUAGACUUUAUCAGCUAACUGUUUAGUUUUGAGCUUUUCUUUAAUGCACUUUUCAGUUAACAAGUCAACAUCAAUUUCUUUUGCUGUAAAAAAGCUUGAGGAAGGUGGCUUGAGAUUCGUCUUAAGUGUUUAUAGCCUCUUGCCUAUGCAGUCGGAGAGAUUGAGGUCUGCAGCGUAGAUCCUUCGGGGCUAAAUGCAUUUGUGCUAAGUUAUAGCAUUUUAUAGACAACUUGUUGACUAUGAUUUGUCUUGUAGCUUACUCGCUUAUGUUAUUUUACCUACGCUUAGGAUGUUGAUCUGUAGUGCGUGCGC
rnacentral:rRNA from 1 species